GUGUCAGCCGCCGCGGUAAGACGAACCGUGCGAACGUUAUUCGGAAUCAUUGGGCUUAAAGGGUACGUAGGCGGCGCUGUCAGUCGGGUGUGAAAGCCCUCGGCUCAACCGAGGAAUUGCGCCCGAUACUGCAGUGCUUGAGGGAGACAGAGGUAAGCGGAACUGAUGGUGGAGCGGUGAAAUGCGUUGAUAUCAUCAGGAACACCAGUGGCGAAAGCGGCUUACUGGGUCUCUUCUGACGCUGAGGCACGAAAGCUAGGGGAGCGAACGGGAUUAGAUACCCCGGUAGUCCUAGCUGUAAACGCUGAGCACUUGAUCGAGGAUCCCCCCAUAGGUUCUCGGUCGUAGCGAAAGUGGUAAGUGCUCCGCCUGGGGAGUAUGGUCGCAAGGCUGAAACUUAAAGGAAUUGGCGGGG
rnacentral:rRNA from 1 species